CCUCUCAGUGCUGGUCUCUGGUGUGCUUUUCCGCCUUUCUGACGGAGAUUACAGAGAACGAUGAUCUCGGACAAUCCAGUGGUUUUUUUUCAUAGGAAAGCGUUGGGUGGCUUUUGGAUAUGCGCAGCAAAAUGCCGAACUGUGCCAGUCAGAUGGUGUUUCUAGGAGACCAUCUAAUUUGAAAAAAAGUGGAGUUUUACUCUUUUUCUG